rnacentral:rRNA from 1 species
AUUGAACGCUGGCGGCAGGCUUAACACAUGCAAGUCGAGCGGGGUGAGGUACUUCGGUACUGAUCCUAGCGGCGGACGGGUGAGUAAUGCUUAGGAAUCUGCCAUUUAGUGGGGGACAACAUUCCGAAAGGAAUGCUAAUACCGCAUACGUCCUACGGGAGAAAGCAGGGGAUCUUCGGACCUUGCGCUAAUAGAUGAGCCUAAGUCGGAUUAGCUAGUUGGUGGGGUAAAGGCCUACCAAGGCGACGAUCUGUAGCGGGUCUGAGAGGAUGAUCCGCCACACUGGGACUGAGACACGGCCCAGACUCCUACGGGAGGCAGCAGUGGGGAAUAUUGGACAAUGGGGGGAACCCUGAUCCAGCCAUGCUGCGUGUGUGAAGAAGGCCUUAUGGUUGUAAAGCACUUUAAGCGAGGAGGAGGCUACUGAGACUAAUACUCUUGGAUAGUGGACGUUACUCGCAGAAUAAGCACCGGCUAACUCUGUGCCAGCCGCCGCCGUAA